rnacentral:rRNA from 1 species
GACGUAGGUGGCGAGCGUUACUCGGAAUCACUAGGCGUAAAGCACAUGUAGGCGGGUGCGUAAGUUCGUUGUGAAAUCUCCCGGCUUAACUGGGAGGGGUCAACGGAUACUGCGCGUCUGGAGUGGGGUAGGGGGGACUGGAAUUCCUGGUGUAGCGGUGAAAUGCGUAGAUAUCAGGAGGAACACCAAUGGCUAACGCAGGUCCCUGGGCCCUUACUGACGCUGAGAUGUGAAAGCUAGGGGAG